AAUUUAUAUCUCACCAAAUUCCGCAAUACAAAAACACAAAAAACCAUAUCAGUUUCGACACCAAUUACAUGAUUUAUAAUUAAGAGAUGAAGUCAGGGGACGCUUCUAAAGUAGAGUUACUGAAGCCUGCAAAAAAAUGGAUUUUUGAAGGACACUAAACAUCAGAACAUGGAUUUGGAGGCUUGAAGGAUAGUCUGAAGUGAAUGUGUCAAGUUCAAGUAUAUAUCACCAUUAAUUCUUGUUCAUCAACAUCAGGUGGGUUCCUUAAGAUUAGAUAACUUAGUUGUCCAAAAUCAAUGAAAUAUGUAUGAUAACAUUAGGUGCCCCUUUUCUUGCUAAAUUAUAUGAUGCAUUUAUGGUUUAUGCUUGAUUCUGUGAUUAAAAUGUUAUUUCUGGUUGUGGAAUUGUUUAAUGUAUGAUAGGGAUCAUUGGAAUGUAAUAAAACUUGUAUUCUAAACUCAAUUUUUGCAAGAAAUCUGACUUUUACGCAGCAUGCAUUGAUACAUACAGGUCUAUGUAUUGAUACACGUACCCAGAACUUCACAAAACCCCAGUUUCAGCAGUAUGCAUCGAUGCAUAUAGUUCCAGAAUCGAUACAUGAGCCCAGUUUUGCAAAAAACUCAGUUUUCCGCAUGUAUCGGUUCAUGGGGCACUUUACAUCGGUUCAUAUAUGCCUGAAUUGUUGGAAACUUUAAUUUUCUAGAAUGAAUUGGUUCUAGACUCAUUUGUUUUGAUGCAUGCUAACUAAAAGUUGGAAGAACAUCUUUUGUUUGUAAUUCUAUGUGUUCCCUACCAUAUACACUGAUAAUGAGCAAUUGUGGAAUAAUGUUUUGUCACUUGGCAUUCAUAUAAUUGCAAAGAAUUUAAAAUAGGAUUUAUGGACAACCUAAGGUUAUUUUUCUUUCCGUCUUUGUAAUUUAUUUUUUCUAGUUUAGGUGGAGUCGAGAAACUCCCUUACGAAUGUUUGGUUGUAAUAUUUAUAAUAUUUAUGAAUUUAGUUAUUUCUAUUCAAAA
rnacentral:lncRNA from 1 species